rnacentral:lncRNA from 1 species
CUGACUGCUCCUCCCUCCUUGGCGGUUCCGACUGCGGCAGGGCCCUAGGCCAAUCUUCUCUUCCUUCAGGUCGGCGUUGAAUGAAUCUGUCGAGUCGACCUCGUCUGAUGAGCUCCUCGAUCUCGUCUCGGAGCUGAAUAUAUUCCUCCGUAUCAUGGCCGCGGUCACGAUGAUAGAGGCAGAAUUUGUUCGGGUUGUAUUUUUUUGGAGUGCGAGCACAUCCUCUCCGGCCUUAGGAGCUGCUCUCUGACCUCCAUCAGCACUUGAGUUUUCGAUGCGUUGAGA